rnacentral:rRNA from 1 species
AUGGAAGCAGCAGCAGACGAGGAGAGGCCCCUGCUACAUCUGCAACCGCUGCUUAAUCAGGAUGUAGGUUCAGAAUACACCAGCGAUGGAUCUGUUGACAUCAACAAUCAGCCUGCUCUGAAGCACAACACAGGCAAUUGGAGGGCGUGCUACAUGAUUUUAGGCGUCGAGUUUUGCGAAUGCGUCGCCUUCUUUGCAAUCGCGUCCAACUUGGUGACCUACCUCACCACGGUGCUCCACGAAAGCAAGGUCGCCGCCGCGCGGGAUGUCUCUGCCUGGGUUGGCGCAUGCUUCCUCGCGCCACUUAUUGGGGCCUUCUUGGCUGACACAUAUCUGGGAAGAUACUGUAUGAUGGUUGUUUUCCUUCCGGUCUACACCAUUGGGAUGCUCGUGCUCACGGUCUCAGCAUCAGUCCCGACAUCCUACUACCAUGGUGAUGUUCAUCAUGCUGUGGUGGUGUACCUAGGACUUUAUCUUGCCGGGCUUGGGAGCGCUGGCAUCAAACCCUGCGCGUCGGCCUUCGGCGCCGACCAGUUCGACAGCGAGGACCUGACAGAGCUGGAGAAGAAGGGCUCCUUCUUCAACUGGUACUACUUCCUGCUCAAUCUCGGCUCCCUUCUGUCGAGCACACUGCUUGUUUGGCUGCAGGACAAUGGUUGGUGGGGGCUCAGUUUCGCGAUCCCAACGGUGCUCAUGGCUUUGGGCCUAGCAGUGUUUGUUGGUGGCUCCAGAGUGUACAGGUUCAGGAAACUGAGAGCAAGCCCAUUCACGAGCAUCUGUUAG